UUUUACCAUCUCGUCCGUUUCUUCUAUCUCUUUUUUUUUUUUUUUUUAUCAUAUCGUCCAUCUCGUCUCUGUCGUUCCAUUAAUGGGUUUUUACAGAAGUUGAUUGAACACAGAAGAGAAGAAAAAUGUGAUGUUUUUACAUAUAAGAUUAAGGUUUCAAUGAGAAUCGAUAAUGAGAUAAAGAUUAUGGGUCUGCGGUUUAGAGAAAUUGAAUGAAAUCAGGGAUAGUUGAUGGUCAUGGUGUCGAUCCGUGUGUUGAUUCAAACUCGACAGAAAGGCGUGGGUUUUGGUUUCUUUGAAGGAUUUUGAUGCUUGGGUAUCCAUCAGCAGCUGAAAGCAAUCACCAGUUUGGGGCAAUUUUCUGCUUACCUUUUUUUUCCUCGUUUGAGCAAAUCUUAGUCAUCGUUUUGUUCUGUAUAACCCGUUUGAUAUAAUGUCUCACUAGCAAAUGUUAUGAAUUCCUUGCGCUUAAAUCCUCUUUAAGAUAAUUUUCUACUUUCUCACAGUAGUUAACUAGUUAUAGUGGUGAAGAAGAUAUGCUCUCGUUUGAACUACGAAUUCUGCGUGUAACUAGAGAUUUCUGAUCUCCAAUCCAGACAUCCAGUUCACAAGUGAAAUUAUCAAAAGUUCAAUGUUAAUUUUCCUUAGCUACACUUCAUAUUUCUUGGCCCUGUCUUUGUUUUAACAUUUAUGAAAUUCUUUUUUUAUUAAUAGUAAAAUGGGAAUGAUAUUAAGUUUUCCCAAUUUUUUGCAUUUCUGAUUGUAGUUGAGUAUUUGAGGACUUGGAGUUCUGCUGUACCCAUUUUAUCUGAGAUGGUUGCAUUCGAAAUUAGUCCGUGGUUUGAAUAACCGUUGCAUGAAUUGAUUAUCCUUCCGUCCUAAAAGACCUGAAUUAUUUGCUGGGAAGCUCCUCAGUCUACAGAAAGGUGUAUUGUUAAGGGUUAAAAUGAAAGUGGUUCGGAGAUGCGCAAAAGCUUGUUGCUGCCAUGUUCACUUUAGUUCAUAAGCUUCAACCGACUAUUAUCUUUAUUGAUGAGGUUGAUGGCUUUUAGAGGCAUCGCCGUGCUACUGACCACGAAGCUUUGACAAACAUGAAAACAAAGUUCAUGGCUCUCUGGGAUGGUUUUACCACAGACCAUGACAGUAUGCAGGAUUGUCAUCUAGAGGCAGUUCACAUUUAGGCUUCCAAGGCUCUCCUCAGCCAGCGGUAGCUUUGUUCACGAACUCUGCUUCACUUCCAAGUCUCCUGCCAAACAUACUUAUAUUUCUCUCCUUCCAUAAAAGAUAAAAUUCUGCAAAUAACAUGUCCUGGUAUAACAAGUAUCUGGACCAGGUCCUGAUGAGGAAGGGAGAAGCAGAGUCGCAGAAUGAUAAAUGAAUGUCAUCAUGGAACUUGGACAAACUUUCCACAGGCAUUUUUGGAUGUUGAUAAUCUUAGUUACCAGGUUUUUUUUAACUAUCUGGGUGUUGUUCUGUUGCCCAGAUUUAUGUUUUUUAAACAGUUAAACAUCUUACUGUCGGAUAUGUAAGUUUCUAUGGUGUAACAAUGUAAAAACUUGUUAUGAAAAGUAUAAGUUUCUGGUUCAGUGUGAAUGAUGCGAGUUUUGAA